AGAUAGAGGAGUGCUCGAAAGAGAGCCGUAACACAGGUGCUGCAUGGCUGUCGUCAGCUCGUGUCGUGAGAUGUUGGGUUAAGUCCCGCAACGAGCGCAACCCUUGUCAUUAGUUGCUACAUUCAGUUGGGCACUCUAAUGAGACUGCCGGUGACAAACCGGAGGAAGGUGGGGAUGACGUCAAGUCCUCAUGGCCCUUAUAGGUGGGGCUACACACGUCAUACAAUGGAUGGUACAAAGGGUCGCCAACCCGCGAGGGGGAGCCAAUCCCAUAAAGCCAUUCGUAGUCCGGAUCGCAGUCUGUAACUCGACUGCGUGAAGUCGGAAUCGCUAGUAAUCGUGGAUCAGAAUGUCACGGUGAAUACGUUCCCGGGUCUU
rnacentral:rRNA from 1 species